GUAUGUGGUGAUAAGGGAUCGCAUGAAGAAAUACGAGAAGACAUCCUUUCAUGGGUUUUUUGAUUCCUUAUCAGGCAUUUUAAGAUCAAAAUUUAAUCUUCUUUCUAUAUGGAAAAUUAUGAAAUUUUCUAAUUUGAGAAGGGAUGCAAAAAUAUCUCUUCUCUGAUCAUGCACAUGGGUGAAUGUGCUGAUCAACGUAUCAGGCAGAAGAAUGCUUCUGUCUG
rnacentral:lncRNA from 1 species